GUUUGCUGUCAAUGUUACAUACACAAGGCUAUAAGUAAGUAGUUGUAAUUAUUAUUUCUAAUGAUGACUUGUCCAUCAUACCUCUUCCUAAUUGAACAAUUAACUUUUCUUAUUCCGAAUACAAUUAAAAAUAGAUAUCAUACAUUAUAAGUAGCUACAAUAAAUGCACUUUUAAAUUCCCUGAGAAUAUUAAAUACUGUAAACAGAAAAAGAAUACUAACAGUGUUUUAACUAAAACAAGUACUAAGAAAGCAAUUAAGUAAUUGGCAAUUAUAAAUCUCUUUUGACUCAGAUAUACGCGACAGAACAUGCAUAACAAAACAAAAACAAAAAAUUACAAGCAUCAUUUUUAAGGUGCUUUUCUGAAAUUGGUCUUUGAUAACAGCCAAGACUGAUAGUUCAUUAUUGCAAAUGUUGUUUUUUAUUAAUGAGGACAUAUACCGUAAGUUCCAUUUAAUUAAGUCUUUAUAGAGAUGUAAGUAAAACCCUAACACCUCCAUCCAUUUCAAAUUUAUCUGGUCUACCUUAACAGAAACUCACAGUUCAAUUGCAACCAAUUUGAUACUUUAAAAACCCCAGUAUCAUAGAAAAAUUUAAUUAUAUGUUUUACCAUUUUGACUUUUGGUUUAUGGUAUUAAAAGGUGCUAAAUGUUAAAAUUUAUAAAAUAAUACACAAUAUUUGAUAUCACAGCCUAGCUUUAACUAUGAUAACUAACAGACUACGCCUACAGUGGAUUCAUUUAAUAUCAUGGGUGCCAAUUUUUGUGGAUUUAGGAAAACUUGCAUUUCUUGGAUAUUUAGUUUUAUGGUUUUUCCAAAGUCUGCAUACAAUCUAAUAGAAAAUGUGUCAUUCUUUUAACAUUUAAGUUUGUGGUUCAAGGGUACCCCGAUAUCCACAAAAAUUGGUAUUCAGCAAAUAAUAAUGAAUCCAAAGUAUCAUUAGUAUUAACAGGACUAUAUAUAAAUAUUAAAUCCCUUUAAUAAAUAAAUAUAAAUGAACACUUCAAUAUAUAAUACAAAACCACAAGUUAAUAUUUAAACCUUAAGGUGACUUCUCCUUUGAAUUAAAUAGAGGAAUGAGAAAGACUUUUCAAAGAGAAAGUUUUCAGGAAGAUUUCCGCCCUUUCUUUUAGAAUAACUUGUAACUCCACCUGUGAUCUUUACUUGCAUGCCCACAACAAGUGCAAGACAACAGAUAUUAGUAAUGGUAAGUGCUGCUGCUUUUUGGCCCUAGCAUGCAGAACUGUGGGAUAAGAUCAAACAGUAGUCAGCUAAAAGUGAGAAUACAGUCUGGAUGGGAUGGCAUACAAAACUGAAUAUCUGGCUCAGUGUGUUGGUCUAGUACAAAGCAAGAUUUAUAAAUUUAUCACAGUAAACACCAUACUAAUAUGUUCUCAUCCUUAAAUAUUCAUGUAAAAUUUGCUGCUAGGUGUUAUAUUCUCACUCACUUACAUAUCAGGAUAGAUAAAAAUAUAAGGAUUUCUUUAACACAAAUUUAAAACCAUGUGUAUCAUUAUUAAUAGCCUUUGUUCUGAAAUCUUUACAAACAGCUUUUUUUCUGAAAUUCAUUACAAAUCUCUCUUUUUUUUUCUGAAAUUCAUUACUAAUAGCUCUUUUUUUCUGAAAUCAUUGCAAAUUGCUUUUUCUGCUGUCAUCAUUACAAAUAUCUUUUUCUGAUUUCAUUACAAAAGCUCUUUUUUCUGUAAUUCAUAACAAAAAGCUCUGUUUUUCCUGAAAUUCUUUACUAAUAGCUCUUUAUUUAUGAAAUCAUUACAAAAAGCUCAAUUUUCUGAAA
rnacentral:lncRNA from 1 species